UACGAAGGGGGCUAGCGUUGUUCGGAAUUACUGGGCGUAAAGCGCACGUAGGCGGAUCGAUCAGUCAGGGGUGAAAUCCCAGGGCUCAACCCUGGAACUGCCUUUGAUACUGUCGAUCUGGAGUAUGGAAGAGGUGAAUGGAAUUCCGAGUGUAGAGGUGAAAUUCGUAGAUAUUAGGAAGAACACCAGUGGCGAAGGCGGCUCACUGGCCCGGUACUGACGCUGAGGCGCGAAAGCGUGGGGAGCAAACAGG
rnacentral:rRNA from 1 species